UACGUAGGUGGCAAGCGUUGUCCGGAAUUAUUGGGCGUAAAGCGCGCGCAGGCGGUCUCUUAAGUCUGAUGUGAAAGCCCACGGCUCAACCGUGGAGGGUCAUUGGAAACUGGGGGACUUGAGUGCAGAAGAGGAGAGCGGAAUUCCACGUGUAGCGGUGAAAUGCGUAGAUAUGUGGAGGAACACCAGUGGCGAAGGCGGCUCUCUGGUCUGUAACUGACGCUGAGGCGCGAAAGCGUGGGGAGCAAACAGGAUUAGAAACCCCCGUAGUCC
rnacentral:rRNA from 1 species